AAGGAGCUCGGAUGUUGCCGACGGGCCGUCUACCGUUGGGUGCCUCGAGCGUUAGUACUAUUGGCGAGGGCCAUUUGCUGUAGGAGCGCAGUCAGGGGCUUUCUGUAGACGAAGUCCAGCUCCCGUAGGAGUCCGGACGGAGUCUACCUGCAGUUGAAGUCGGGGAUGAAGUACGGCUCCUGUAAGAGUCCGGACGUAGUCUACCUGCAGUUGGAGUCGGGGCGAGGUCC
rnacentral:lncRNA from 1 species